rnacentral:lncRNA from 1 species
CAGAUACCAUCAGGACCCCUUCUCUCUCCAGCUGUCUCUUCUGCUUGCUUCUCUGCUGGCUUCAUUCUUCAGGCCCAUGGGAUAGCAACGUAGCUGCCGGCAACUCUAGAACACGGAGAGAUCCGGAGGGCCCUAGGUUUAAGGCACUUUCUGGAAGGAUGUCAAUGUCUGGACCCAAAGCGUGCGGUUUUGAACAUCACUCACUCAGCCUCGCCUGCUGCCAGCACUCCAGUUGGUUCCGCUGCCAUCCCUGAUCCUUUGAUCCAAGAGAAGUGCUGAGAGCCUCUUUCUCCCCUCAGAGGCAGUGGGUUUCAAACCUUGAGGCAGCGUUUUCAUGUCCUCACCCACAUUGCUGGUCCAGUCUUGCCUAAUGGGAAC